rnacentral:tRNA from 1 species
GGGAAUAUAGCUUAGUUGGUAGAGCACCGCCCUUGCAAGGCGGGGGUCGCAGGUUCGAGCCCUGUUAUUUCCA